rnacentral:rRNA from 1 species
GACGGAGGAUGCAAGCGUUAUCCGGAAUUAUUGGGCGUAAAGCGUCCGCAGGUGGACAUACAAGUCUGCUGUCAAAGUGCAGAGCUUAACUCUGUAAAGGCGGUGGAAACUGUAGGUCUUGAGUAUGGUAGGGGUAGAGGGAAUUCCCGGUGUAGCGGUGAAAUGCGUAGAUAUUGGGAGGAACACCAGUGGCGAAGGCGGUCCCCUGGGCCGGAACUGACGCUGAGGCGCGAAAGCGUGGGUAGCAAACGGG